rnacentral:rRNA from 1 species
UGGGGAAUAUUGCACAAUGGGGGAAACCCUGAUGCAGCGACGCCGCGUGAGCGAAGAAGGCUUUCGAGUCGUAAAGCUCUGUCCUAUGAGAAGAUAAUGACGGUAUCAUAGGAGGAAGCCCUGGCUAAAUACGUGCCAGCAGCCGCGGUAAUACGUAUGGGGCGAGCGUUGUCCGGAAUUAUUGGGCGUAAAGGGUACUUAGGUGGUUUUUUAAGUCAGGUGUCAAAGCGUGGAGCUUAACUCCAUUAAGCACUUGAAACUGAAAGACUUGAGUGAAGGAGAGGAAAGUGGAAUUCCUAGUGUAGCGGUGAAAUGCGUAGAUAUUAGGAGGAAUACCGGUGGCGAAGGCGACUUUCUGGACUUUUACUGACGCUCAGGUACGAAAGCGUGGGGAGCAAACAGG